rnacentral:rRNA from 1 species
ACCGGUACUAAUGAACCGUGAGGCUUAACCUUACAACGCCGAAGAUGUUUUGGCGGAUUGAGAGAAUUUUCAGCUUAGAUUCAGAGUUGAGUACGCAAUAAUUUGCGCAGCAGCAAGGCGACAAGCGAAGGAAAGGAAGGAGCAUACUGAAGUAUGUGACUGACUUUGCGAGCGCAGGCAACGCAGCUGAUGCGAUAAAGAAUUGCGUACUGAGCACAAAGAAUUUGCCUGGCGGCACUAGCGCGGUGGUCCCACCUGACCCCAUGCCGAACUCAGAAGUGAAACGCCGUAGCGCCGAUGGUAGUGUGGGGUCUCCCCAUGUGAGAGUAGGGAACUGCCAGGC